UCCGAUUGAAAAAAGUUCAAGCAAAAGGGCGGUCUGAACUGAUGCCAUGUUGAUAUGUCUGCAGUUUCCAUGCCUUCCAUCUGGAUUGGCAUCCGAGGGA
rnacentral:snoRNA from 1 species